GGCGAUGUAGGAUAGUGGUCAUUACGCAAGGUAUUAACCGGAGGCCCCGGUUCGAUUCCGGGCAUCUGCCC